UUUUUAAUCAAAGAAACGAAACGGACUAGUCCAACAUAGCCCAUUGAAUGUUUCUUAUAAUCUAAGUGUAGAACUUUAAAAAGUUUUUUGUUUUAUUUAUUUCAAAACCUCUUGAUAGUCAGUGUUUGGUCAAGCUAUACGAAAUCUGUCUAGAAUCCCUCACUAAAACAUGGGACUUGGAGAAGGCUCGGGCAAAGGUGUACUGUGUCCAGGACUACUGUGGGCUAUCCUGUGGUUUCUGAUUCUGUGGUUCAUGGUCUGGCCCAUCGCCUUCUUCAUUGCUUGGCUGUACGUUAUUCUAAUCCCAUUCUCCGCCUGCAGUGAGCCGCUCAAAGUAGUGUGUGAAGCCAUCCUCAAACUAGUUAAGCUCCCGUUGACAUGCGCAGAGAAUAUGAUCGCCAUGAAGCCUUUAUGUGGAAGAACUCCUCCAUGAACUCUAGAUUGACUUAUACAUUUAUACACAUUUUUGUGUUAUCUCUUUGUGAAUAUGCGAAACUUGGGCAGAAGACAAUUGAUAGCUUUAGAUUAAAAUAAACUAUGUGAAUCAUUAACAAUUUGAUUUAAGAAAAUCGCCUUUCAUUAAAAAUGUGCAAAGCCUUCUAAGUGCCGGAAUUUGUAUUGCAAGGACAUUCCGUAGCAGAUUUAGAAGGAAAUGAUUUUGUCAGUUUUUUGUGUGUAUAGGAAUACAAAAUGUUUGUCAUCCAAGUCCUUGUGCCCUAAAAACGUGUUUGUAUGUGUGUCACGUGACUAAAAUGUACCACUAGAAAUAUCAGUAUUUACAACGGAAAAGAGGCAGCAACCUUAACCCAUUGAAGCGUGAAGUCCUCUCCCAAUAACAAUCAUGUUAUCCAUAGCCUGAAUAAUAUACUGCUGAUUAACUUCUUUCUUUUUAAAUGUUUCUAAUUAACAUAUUUCUAAUUAACAUACUGCUGAUUAACCAAUUAUCGAUUUUCAUAUUUCCUUUGAUUGGGCAUGAUGAAAGCAAUGAACAAGUUGACCUAGUUUUGGAACAUUGUAUUGUUAGAGUGUCAACAUCUUCCUGAGGGUUAGAAUCUUUUGAGAACGAGGUAGAAACAUCCUAAAACAACAGCCGACAUCCUGAAUGAUCAAUGUAGACAGAACAGUUGUUUAAUCUGUAGACUAAGUCCUAAAACAACUCACCGACAUCCUGAAUGAUCAAUGUAGACAGAACAGUUGUUUAAUCUGUAGACUAAGUCCAAAAACAACUCACCGACAUCCUGAAUGAUCAAUGUAGACAGAACAGUUGUUCAAUCUGUAGACUAAGUCCUAAAACAACAGCCGACAUCCUGAAUGAUCAAUGUUGACAGAACAGU